GAAAUGCAAACACUACGUUACUCCGCUAUGUGUUUCAUUUGAUGUCAAUUCUCUACAUUACAUGUUUCCUUAAACGGUGUUUAUAGUUGAGGUUUAACUAAUGUCACUUUUGUUGUUAGACACUUUUAUAAUAGCGUUAGGUAGUUGGCUAACUAAGCAGGUAGUUAACUACCCAAUGCUACUCUUGCUACGUGUAAAGUAUAUAUGUUUAAGACGUGUUGACAUGAGUAGUACAGAAAUAAUGCUAAUGGUUCUUGUAUCUUUAUUCAGUGUCCAAAAAACACAGGUUGACAGGGGAAGUCGGUGUGAGAGCCCUGUGCUACAGGUCAAUGAGGAAGAGUGAGGCACCACACAGACUAAGUAUUAAGCUUCUGGAUUCAUCGCCGGUGGUACUGACACAUAGCCAGUGCUCCUGUGUGGCAGGUGCUGUUAUGUGCAAUCACACAGUGGCACUGCUCUUCCAAACAGCACACUACUCACAACUCAGAGUGCCGGUUGUCCCCCUGUGCAUAGCUGCACCGAAUCUGAACAGCAAUGGCACAAGCCACGGACAGUGGGUGUGAAGCCAGGACCUAUCAACUCUAUGAUCUUCACUAAGCCGGUACCAAAUAGGAUGGCCCAGACUGGAGUACGGAGUGGAUUCUACAGAGGCAUUGUGGGUCCAUUACCAGAUCCCUGACCUGACAAGCCCCUUGUGGAAAGUGCCUUUGGGCUGGUGCAGGAGGGCAGUGUUCUGUCAUGUCAGCAGCCGGUUUUGACAACCCGGUACAUCACACUACACCGUGAUGCACCACCAACACCGCACUUGCCUCUGGAGUAUGGGUAUGACAUGAAGGAAACCCUGCUCGCUCAGACAGCCUGUGAUAUUUUCUCAAACCGCUGCGCUGAACCAGUUUCCAAAGAACAUGCUGUGUGACACAAUAAAUAUCCUUUAACCUGUUAACCUGUGGCUUCUGGAAGAAACUCGGGUGAGUCAGUCACUGCAAACACAUUUGUAUCAUCAAGUGUUUGUCAAAUGAAAAUGAUAUGUUUUUCUACACUUAGGAUAAUUUUCUAUGUUGCAGUGCAGUAAAGUGCACGUUUCUUCUGUGUUCAAUCAUACAUGUUCUAAUUGUUAUAAACAGAAAAAAUCUUUUCUUACUUAACUGCUUGAUUCUUAACUUGUUUAACUGAAACAUGAUGAAAUGUCAUAGUAUUAUUUUUUUUUUUUAAAUGUCCUUGGCAGUGCAUGUGUCUGCAUUGUAACUUACUAAUAAAAAGUCCUGUGUGUA